rfam:Oryza brachyantha chromosome 3, whole genome shotgun sequence.
CCCCGUGAUGGCAUGGAAUCUUUGAGACCUGAGAAUUUUCUUCCUUGAUGAAAAAUCACAAGCAAGAUCCCUGAGGGC